rnacentral:rRNA from 1 species
CAGCCGUAAACUAUGCUCGCUAGGUGUCAGGGACGGUGCGACCGUUUCUGGUGCCGCAGGGAAGCCGUGAAGCGAGCCACCUGGGAAGUACGGCCGCAAGGCUGAAACUUAAAGGAAUUGGCGGGGGAGCACAACAACGGGUGGAGCUUGCGGUUUAAUUGGAUUCAACGCCGGAAAUCUUACCGGGACCGACAGCAACAUGAAGGCCAAGCUGAAGACUUUGCCGGAUUAGCUGAGAGGAGGUGCAUGGCGUAGUCGUGU